rnacentral:rRNA from 1 species
AUUGAACGCUGGCGGCAUGCCCUACACAUGCAAGUCGAACGGCAGCACGGGAGCAAUCCUGGUGGCGAGUGGCGAACGGGUGAGUAAUAUAUCGGAACGUGCCCAGUCGUGGGGGAUAACGCAGCGAAAGCUGUGCUAAUACCGCAUACGAUCUAAGGAUGAAAGCGGGGGAUCGCAAGACCUCGCGCGAUUGGAGCGGCCGAUAUCAGAUUAGCUAGUUGGUGGGGUAAAGGCCCACCAAGGCGACGAUCUGUAGCUGGUCUGAGAGGACGACCAGCCACACUGGAACUGAGACACGGUCCAGACUCCUACGGGAGGCAGCAGUGGGGAAUUUUGGACAAUGGGCGCAAGCCUGAUUCAGCAAUGCCGCGUGCAGGAUGAAGGCCUUCGGGUUGUAAACUGCUUUUGUACGGAACGAAACGGCCCUUUCUAAUACAGGGGGCUAAUGACGGUACCGUAAGAAUAAGCACCGGCUAACUACGUGCCAGCAGCCGCCGUAACAC